UACGUAGGUGGCGAGCGUUGUCCGGAUUUACUGGGCGUAAAGGGCUUGUAGGCGGUCCGUUAAGUCCGAUGUGAAAUCUCCCGGCUCAACUGGGAGAGGUCAUUGGAUACUGGCGGACUAGAGGGGGGUAGAGGAAAGCAGAAUUCCUGGUGUAGCGGUGGAAUGCGCAGAUAUCAGGAGGAACACCGAUGGCGAAGGCAGAUCUCUGGGCCGUAACUGACGCUGAGGAGCGAAAGCAUGGGGAGCGAACAGG
rnacentral:rRNA from 1 species